rnacentral:tRNA from 1 species
GGACAGGUGCUGGAGUGGCUAAUCAGGACAGACUGUAAAUCUGUUGGCGCAAGCCUACGAAGGUUCGAAUCCUUCCCUGUCCACCA